CAUCCAAGAACUUUCUUAUAUCCUUGUUCUUCACAUGGCAUUUCUGUUGAACAUAAAACAAAACGUAGGUUUCAAGAAAUUAGGGAAAAUAAGUGGCUGUCUUAACGACAAAAAGAGCAAAACAUGACAACCCCUCAUAUCCCUUAUAUAUUUAACUAAGGUAGUAAACAGUUGACCUGGUUGAUCAAAGCAGCAGAGCGAGAAACAAGUUCAACAUCAUUCCCAUCAAGGACAAGCUCAUCCUUAACCUUUUCAGACCGUAAAAUUGUCACACCAUUAAGCAUAUCAACUUUCCGCACCUGCAACAAUGAUGAAUUCACAUAUCAGGUAGAGAACUUGGCAGACCACUUUUUGAAGCAUUGAAUUCACUCAGCAAUAUCUACAUAUUUAUCUUCUUAAUGUGCUGAAGGUGAAUGAUUUAAGAGAACAACAUCUUUCAGUCUGGACAAUAAUUAAAAUCAGUGCAUUGAAUAGAAGGGAAACUUAGUUGAAUGGCAUCAGAAAAACCAUGUUUUGAACUGCUUGUAUAUAGCAUUUGAUUGAUUAUCAGAGUAAAUCUGAAUGAUGUUCGAAAUGCACUGGAAUUUGAAUCAGAAUUGCCAAAUUUCAUGAUAUUUGGUUCAACUCCAGAAUCAAAAUUAAAAUAAACUAAUGUUGGUCACAAUUAGUCAUCUACAAAAUAUUAUAUCAAUCAAUCUUAUUUUUGCUAUCGGUAUAAUUAUCUUUUACAUAGUUGUGCAUUACUACCUACAUUAUCCUAUUCUCAAAGUACAUAUGAAGCAGUUUUCUGUAUAUUGUUAUUACUAAAUUAUACUAUUUAUUUUUUGAAAAUCUACUCUUUGUUAAAUAUAUUUUAUAGUAUUUUAUGUGUAUGUUAUUUGUAUCAAUAUCAUAUUUAUACAUAUUCAUACUUUGUGCUUUAUAUGAUUUUGUUUCUACAUUAUCUUAUGCUUUAGUAUCAUGUCAAAGUUAUAUUUAGAUCCCUAUACUUACAAAAGCAAAACAUUUAACCCCAUUAUUUCAAAUCUUUAACUUUAUAAAAUUAUCUUUUUAACCCUGUAUAGGAAUCUCAAUAUUUUACUUUUGUAGGUAUAGGAAUCUCAAUAUAAUUUUUAAAAGUGUAGGGAUCGAAAUGUUAAAAAAGGAUAAUUACAGAGGAUAAUCUGUGAUAAGCCUUAUUAUUAGUUCUCCCAAAAUGGAAUUUAGAUUCUCAUUCCCAAACCAAAUACUGGAAAUAAAGUAAUGAAAUCUUAUGAACCCAAUGCCACCUUAGAAAAAAUGAAUCACUAUUCAAACAUAUUCAUUCUCAUUUUAAUUUCAGUAAAUCCCACAAACCAAAUGCCACUUUAGAGGAAAAUGCAACAGUACACAACACACUUUAUUUCUCAUCUGUUUGAAAAUAUUUAAAAUUCCAAAUCUAGAGCCAAUAUACAAAAAUUAAAUGGGUAAAGAAAACAAACAGAUGAAAUGCAUGAGAUCAAUCCAUCUCCACAAGGUCCGCUAAUUUGAUGAAUUUAAAACUGUUUCUAAAGCAACACAUCGCAGAUACGUGGAGAGCAAUAAGCAUAUGAACUGAUGGAAAAUGCUAAGUUGGUGAAUUCCAAAGGAGGUAGACAAAGGGUCAGUGACUAUGUUGAUUAAUUAUUUUUUUCUUUAAACACAUAUAGCAAAGUGGUUAGUUGUUAUUGACACCCUUAACUUCUAUGAAGUGCCAAUAAAGGGGAUUAUAAAAGAACUCCUUCAUGAUGCAGGAUCCGGAUGAAAGGUAAGAUGCAUGUCCAGUAUUUGACAUCCUACUAACAUAGAGCAUGCCUAGUGAAAAUCAUUUGGUAAAUUACUCCAGGUUCCAGUAUUUUACAUCUAAAGAAAUUCAAUAGCGUUGAAACAUAGUCUUAUGAGUGUUGGUAGUCAACAGAUAUAAAUCCAAAAUACCCAACAUUUUCUUGAUGAUACAUAAACCCAUUGCUGCACGAAAAUUCUGUCACUAAAGCCUCCCAUCUGAUGAAAUACAACAGUAUUUGCAUAAAAUGUCUAGUGAAACAAUCAAACAAGUAAAUCAGAUUUAUAUCACAUGAAAAUAGAUGAUAAAAUGAUAACUUUAACGGCAUAGAAGAAAGAUGGCAAUCUUUGAAGAAUCAUUUUGCUGCGCAAAGAUUUUAUAAUCAAGGCCCAUGUGAUCACAUAUCACAUCUUUUUCGUAGGAUAUUUAGUGGAAUGGAGAACAUACGACAAAUCUACCAUACCAUAAUCACACUAAAGAAGUAAAAGUGGUCUGUGUCUGUAAAUCCAUGUUACAAGACAGAUCUUUCCAUGAACAAAUGUUCAAUUUCUGAACUAGUCUGCGGACAAAACAUGUACAUUUGCAUAGCUUACUUAAAACCAGAAAUUUCCUUGACAACUCUCCCUCAUAUCACCCAACAAUAGCGUCUGACCCACAAAAAGUGGCAACGACUUAACAUAGACUAGCGAUAACACAGACAACGAAUAUGAAUAGAACGGAAAGGGUAAGAUCGAAUGAGAUCGUACCUUUUUCUCACCAAGAAAGUUCCUGAUCUCGAUGCAGCUGUUGCUGUUGGUGAUGGAGGCAUUGAUGGGAAAGUGGGCGUAGACUAAACGCAUCUUGUAGCGGUACCCCUUGGUGACUCCGGUGAUCAGGUUCUGGAUGUGGCUGAUGGAGGUGCGGAUGGCGGCGGUGGUCUUCCGCGAGCCGAACCACGCGUCCACCUUCAGCUUCUUCCCGCCCUCGAUGAGCUCGAAGUCGAGGUUGAGGUGCUUGAAGUCGCGGGUAAGCUUGCCGCGCGGGCCCUCCACCUCCACGAUCUUGGCGUUCACCUUCACGGUGACCCCCUCGGGG
rnacentral:lncRNA from 1 species